CCUGGUGACCAUAGCGGCGGGGAAACACCCGGUCCCAUUCCGAACCCGGAAGUUAAGCCCGCCAGCGCCGAUGAUACUGGGGGCGCGAGCCCCUGGGAAAGUAGGUCGUUGCCAGGG
rnacentral:rRNA from 2 species